UACAGAGGUCCCGAGCGUUGUUCGGAUUCAUUGGGCGUAAAGCGUGCGCAGGCGGUGAUGUAAGACAGGUGUGAAAUCCCCGGGCUUAACCUGGGAACUGCAUUUGUGACUGCAUCGCUGGAGUGCGGCAGAGGGGGAUGGAAUUCCGCGUGUAGCAGUGAAAUGCGUAGAUAUGCGGAGGAACACCGAUGGCGAAGGCAAUCCCCUGGGCCUGCACUGACGCUCAUGCACGAAAGCGUGGGGAGCAAACAGG
rnacentral:rRNA from 1 species